UACAGAGGUCCCAAGCGUUGUUCGGAAUUACUGGGCGUAAAGGGUGCGUAGGUGGUGGGGUAAGUCGGAUGUGAAAGCUCGGAGCUCAACUCCGAAAUGGCAUUGGAAACUACCCUGCUAGAGGAUUGGAGGGGGGACUGGAAUACUUGGUGUAGCAGUGAAAUGCGUAGAUAUCAAGUGGAACACCAGUGGCGAAGGCGAGUCCCUGGACAAUACCUGACACUGAGGCACGAAAGCUAGGGGAGCAAACAGG
rnacentral:rRNA from 1 species